rnacentral:rRNA from 1 species
UACGGAGGGAGCUAGCGUUGUUCGGAAUUACUGGGCGUAAAGCGCACGUAGGCGGCUUUGUAAGUUAGAGGUGAAAGCCUGGAGCUCAACUCCAGAAUUGCCUUUAAGACUGCAUCGCUUGAAUCCAGGAGAGGUGAGUGGAAUUCCGAGUGUAGAGGUGAAAUUCGUAGAUAUUCGGAAGAACACCAGUGGCGAAGGCGGCUCACUGGACUGGUACUGACGCUGAGGCGCGAAAGCGUGGGGAGCAAACGGG